rnacentral:rRNA from 1 species
CCUACGGGUAGCAGCAGUGGGGAAUAUUGGACAAUGGGGGCAACCCUGAUCCAGCCAUGCCGCGUGUGUGAAGAAGGCCCUCGGGUUGUAAAGCACUUUCAGUGAGGAAGAACGCCUGGUGGUUAAUACCCAUCAGGAAAGACAUCACUCACAGAAGAAGCACCGGCUAACUCCGUGCCAGCAGCCGCGGUAAUACGGAGGGUGCGAGCGUUAAUCGGAAUUACUGGGCGUAAAGCGCGCGUAGGUGGCUUGAUAAGCCGGUUGUGAAAGCCCCGGGCUCAACCUGGGAACGGCAUCCGGAACUGUCAAGCUAGAGUGCAGGAGAGGAAGGUAGAAUUCCCGGUGUAGCGGUGAAAUGCGUAGAGAUCGGGAGGAAUACCAGUGGCGAAGGCGGCCUUCUGGACUGACACUGACACUGAGGUGCGAAAGCGUGGGUAGCAAACAGGAUUAGAUACCCUAGUAGUC